rnacentral:rRNA from 1 species
AACCAGCACCUCAAGUGGUCAGGAUGAUUAUUGGGCCUAAAGCAUCCGUAGCCGGCUCUGUAAGUUUUCGGUUAAAUCUGUACGCUUAACGUACAGGCUGCCGGGAAUACUGCAGAGCUAGGUAGUGGGAGAGGUAGACGGUACUCGGUAGGAAGGGGUAAAAUCCUUUGAUCUAUUGAUGACCACCUGUGGCGAAGGCGGUCUACCAGAACACGUACGACGGUGAGGGAUGAAAGCUGGGGGAGCAAACCGGAUUAGAUACCCGGGUAGUCCCAGCUGUAAACUAUGCAAACUCAGUGAUGCAUUGGCUUGUGGCCAAUGCAGUGCUGCAGGGAAGCCGUUAAGUUUGCCGCCUGGGAAGUACGUACGCAAGUAUGAAACUUAAAGGAAUUGGCGGGGGAGCACCACAAGGGGUGAAGCCUGCGGUUCAAUUGGAGUCAACGCCAGAAAUCUUACCCGGAGAGACAGCAGAAUGAAGGUCAAGCUGAAGACUUUACCAGACAAGCUGAGAGGUGGUGCAUGGCCGUCGCCAGCUCGUGCCGUGAGAUGUCCUGUUAAGUCAGGUAACGAGCGAGAUCCCUGCCUCUAGUUGCCACCAUUACUCUCAGGAGUAGUGGGGCGAAUUAGCGGGACCGCCGCAGUUAAUGCGGAGGAAGGAAGGGGCCACGGCAGGUCAGUAUGCCCCGAAACUCUGGGGCCACACGCGGGCUGCAAUGGUAACGACAAUGGGUUUCGAAUUCGAAAGGAUGAGGUAAUCCUCAAACGUUACCACAGUUAUGACUGAGGGCUGCAACUCGCCCUCACGAAUAUGGAAUCCCUAGUAACUGCGUGUCACUAUCGCGCAGUGAAUACGUCCCUGCUCCA